rnacentral:rRNA from 1 species
UACGGAGGGUGCAAGCGUUGUUCGGAAUCACUGGGCGUAAAGCGCGUGUAGGCGGCUAUCUAAGUCUGAUGUGAAAGCCCUGGGCUCAACUCAGGAAGUGCAUUGGAUACUGGAUAGCUGGAGUACCGGAGAGGAGGGUGGAAUUCCUGGUGUAGCGGUGAAAUGCGUAGAUAUCAGGAGGAACACCGGUGGCGAAGGCGGGUCUCUGGGCCGAUACUGACGCUGAGGAGCGAAAGCGUGGGGAGCGAACAGG